UCUACCCCUCUCCAGAAGUAUCUCGCACCGCCAGCUCUCUUCCUCUCCCUUCUUUCUUUCUCCAGCUCGAGCGUGCGCGAGCAGAGCAGAGCCAUGGUUGCCGCCCGACCCCCCACGACGAGCCGCCGUCUGAGCUCGCCCCGACCUCCACCAACCCUCCAGGCGCACUCACCACCUCCUAUGGCACCUCCCCGAAUUACCAGACCACUGCUCCGGCCACCAGCUUACCGGAACAGAACCCGCCGCCGCCGCCCAGACCACCCGCACGUCGAGCUCCCUUCCUCGGUUCUCCUCCGCCCAAACCGACCCUCGGAAUGGGUCGCUCUCGACUUGCUGAUGCUCACCAGCCUACCCACCGCCGCCCUCCCUCGCCAGAGCACCGCUGCACGCCGCGCCGAGCGCCGCCUCUCACUGCUCCCGCCGUCGGCGCCUCUCCGGUCGCCCCCAACCCCAACCAAGCCCACCUACAGGUAGUCCUCGUCGCCCUCAUGCUCCUCCACCCCUCCCUCGUCGCCGGGAAGCAUCCCCAUCGCCGGAAUCGUCGUUUCCCCUUGCUGCUCUGCUUCAACUCGCGACUAGGGACUUCGUGCAGCAAUUCAAACUAGUGCAGGGGGUUUUCUGCAAUGUCAUAGACUCAUAGGAAUAGUGUUUCAGGGACCAAAUCGCUUGGAACUUUGAAAAUCCAUAGAAAAUAGUAGAAAAAUCGUAAAAUAGCAAUUUAAGAUGUUUUGGAAUCCUUGUGAGUAGAUCUAUGCAGUGGAAUCAUAAUAUGAUGGGUGUUAGUUGAAAAUAUUUACUGUAAAAAUAGAUUUAUGCUUGUUAAGGUUUUAAUGCUAGUGUUGCUUGUCUUUUUCAUAACUGCAGUUAUAGUGCUCUAAAUGAUAUGAAAUUUUUAUGGUAGGCUAUUAUUGUGAUGUGUGCACUGUGGUAAAAAUUUCAAGUUCAUUGAGGACAGUAUGACCGAGUUUUUGAUUUAACUUGUUGAAUGCUAAGUAAAUAGUUUAUAAAUAAUAGAAAUGUGUAAAAAUGGAAAAUGUGAUUCCACUACCCUUGUAUGAUGUUAUUUUGGUCUAAAAUAUAUAUAUGCCUAUAUGUCUUAAUAUCUAAAUAAAUUAAGAAAGGCUUUAAAUAAAUUAAUUUGGGGUUGGAUGCUAUGUUUUCUGGUGAUCAUAAGUCAUGUAUGACAUGUUAGAUGUUGCUCAUGCAACUCUUGUUUAAACUUGAUAUUAUUUGCAUGGUUGCUAAAGAUAGCUCAUGACCUUCAUGCUUAUGGAUGCUCAGUCGUGACCUUGUGUCUGUCUUGCUUGCUCUUUUUGAUGCAUUGUCUAUUGUACCUCUGUGCAUUCAUACAUAUGCAUUAUUGCACCUCAUUUAGGUACGAUAGAUGAACCACGUGAAGGACGUGAUAUUGUAACCGAACACGAAGAUGAUGUUUGGUGGACAUAUUCAGAAGAGGCAAAGAACCAGGAGUACAUGCUUGGACCGGAAUACUCGCCAAGCGAGUGUCAUCUAACAAACACUGACCUAGUGUUAAUCCCAGG